GAUUUCUAAGGCAGGUUUCUCAUGAUUGUGGAACCUGCAAACUUCUCCAGUUUUACCAUCACUUCCAGAGCCCAUGGCAUGCUGUUUGAAUGUCUGCUGCUACUCCAGGUGCCUCUCUGCAGAAAAGUCGUUCUAAGCUGCUUAUGGAGUUCUCAAUUUCGCAUGAUUGAGGGAUUACGCACCAGAGGUGCAGACCUCUUCUUGGGUUGCCCUCAUCCAGAUUUCACAGAGAUAAUACACCAGGAUCAGAGGUUGAACAGCGACUUCAGCCUUCAGAGACUUCAGCCUUUUUGCCAUGGCAAGAACAAUGUCACCAGCUAGUCUGAUCUUUGUACACCAGCAGUGGCUCUGUAGGCCAUUUACUGGGCUCAAAGUUGUGGACUGCCAGCAGCCAGAAGCCAGCAAAUUGGGCAGGUCCAUCUGGGUUUCAACCAGAAGAGUGGCAUCACCACCUGAGGCAUGCUGAGAUGCAAGCAGGUCAUAGCGGGCCACACUCAGCCAGUGUACCACCUGGACUGCGAGGGAGCAGGGCUCAGCCGACCCUGUGCUUUUGUUUGAG
rnacentral:lncRNA from 1 species